AGAUAACAUAAAGUUACCUGUCUGAAGGUGCAGUAGCUUUUCCAAGUGACAAAUUUCCCCGUCUUCCUAUAUACCAAGGAAAGACUGGCUGUGGAAUCGUCUUUCUGCUUAUCUCCAGGACCAACACCUAGAACCUCUUCAUUAAAGAAGUGAGGCCUUUGGAAUGUGCUUAGCUCAUGAAGAUGGAGCCCUUAUGAAGUCAGCCACGAGGAAGAGGGCACUCUGAUCUUGCAUUUGACUCUACUGGCCCCGUGAUCUCGUACUUCUAGCCUCCAGAGCUGUGAGAAAGAAGUUUUUGUUGUUUAGAAGCCAUCCAGUCUGUGGGAUUUUGUUACAGCAGUCCUAACAGACCAGAACAGGCUUGCUUUAAGUGCAGCACAUGGUCAGUUUUGGUAAAUUUUCCAUGUGCA